CACACGACCGUACCGCAAACCGACACUGGUGCGCGAGAUGAGUAUUCUAAGGCGCUUGAGAGAACUCAGGAGAAGGAACUCGGCAAAUUGACACCGUAACUUCGGAAGAAGGUGUGCCUUUAGUAGGUGAAGUCCCUCGCGGAUGGAGCCCAAUGAGGUUGCAAAAAAUCGGUGGCUGCGACUGUUUAUUAAAAACACAGCACUCUGCAAACACGAAAGUGGACGUAUAGGGUGUGACGCCUGCCCGGUGCUGGAAGAUUAAAUGAUGGGGUGCAAGCUCUUGAUUGAAGUCCCAGUAAACGGCGGCCGUAACGAUAACGGUCCUAAGGUAGCGAAAUUCCUUGUCGGGUAAGUUCCGACCUGCACGAAUGGCGUAACGAUGGCCACACUGUCUCCUCCUGAGACUCAGCGAAGUUGAAAUGUUUGUGAUGAUGCAAUCUCCCCGCGGAAAGACGGAAAGACCCCAUGAACCUUUACUGUAGCUUUGUAUUGGACUUUGAACAGAUCUGUGUAGGAUAGGUGGGAGGCUUUGAAGCAGGGUCGCUAGAUCUUGUGGAGCCAACGUUGAAAUACCACCCUGGUGUGUUUGAGGUUCUAACCUAGGCCCGUAAUCCGGGUUGGGGACAGUGCAUGGUAGGCAGUUUGACUGGGGCGGUCUCCUCCCAAAGUGUAACGGAGGAGUUCGAAGGUACGCUAGUUACGGUCGGACAUCGUGACGAUAGUGCAAUGGCAUAAGCGUGCUUAACUGCGAGACUGACAAGUCGAGCAGAUGCGAAAGCAGGACAUAGUGAUCCGGUGGUUCUGUAUGGAAGGGCCAUCGCUCAACGGAUAAAAGGUACUCUGGGGAUAACAGGCUGAUACCGCCCAAGAGUUCAUAUCGACGGCGGUGUUUGGCACCUCGAUGUCGGCUCAUCUCAUCCUGGGGCUGUAGCCGGUCCCAAGGGUAUGGCUGUUCGCCAUUUAAAGAGGUACGUGAGCUGGGUUUAAAACGUCGUGAGACAGUUUGGUCCCUAUCUUCCGUGGGCGCUGCAGAUUUGAGGAAGCCUGCUCCUAGUACGAGAGGACCGGAGUGGACGCACCUCUGGUGUAUCGGUUGUCACGCCAGUGGCAUUGCCGAGUAGCUAUGUGCGGAAGAGAUAACCGCUGAAAGCAUCUAAGCGGGAAACUCGUUUCAAGAUGAGAUCUGCCGGGGCCUUGAGCCCCCUGAAGAGUCGUUCAAGACCAGGACGUUGAUAGGUCGGGUGUGGAAGCGCAGUAAUGCGUUAAGCUAACCGAUACUAAUUGCUCGUGCGGCUUGACCA
rnacentral:rRNA from 1 species